UACGUAGGGUGCGAGCGUUGUCCGGAAUUAUUGGGCGUAAAGAGCUUGUAGGCGGUUUGUCGCGUCUGCUGUGAAAAUCCGGGGCUCAACCCCGGACUUGCAGUGGGUACGGGCAGACUGGAGUGUGGUAGGGGAGACUGGAAUUCCUGGUGUAGCGGUGAAAUGCGCAGAUAUCAGGAGGAACACCGGUGGCGAAGGCGGAUCUCUGGGCCAUUACUGACGCUGAGGAGCGAAAGCGUGGGGAGCGAACAGG
rnacentral:rRNA from 1 species